UGGGGAAUUUUGGACAAUGGGCGAAAGCCUGAUCCAGCAAUGCCGCGUGUGUGAAGAAGGCCUUCGGGUUGUAAAGCACUUUUGUCCGGAAAGAAAUCCUUGGCUCUAAUACAGUCGGGGGAUGACGGUACCGGAAGAAUAAGCACCGGCUAACUACGUGCCAGCAGCCGCGGUAAUACGUAGGGUGCAAGCGUUAAUCGGAAUUACUGGGCGUAAAGCGUGCGCAGGCGGUUUGCUAAGGCCGAUGUGAAAUCCCCGGGCUCAACCUGGGAACUGCAUUGGUGACUGGCAGGCUAGAGUAUGGCAGAGGGGGGUAGAAUUCCACGUGUAGCAGUGAAAUGCGUAGAGAUGUGGAGGAAUACCGAUGGCGAAGGCAGCCCCCUGGGCAAUACUGACGCUCAUGCACGAAAGCGUGGGGAGCAAACAGGAUUAGAUACCCUGGUAGUCCACGCCCUAAAACGAUGUCAACUAGUUGUUGGGGAUUCAUUUCCUUAGUAACGUAGCUAACGCGUGAAGUUGACCGCCUGGGGAGUACGGUCGCAAGAUUAAAACUUAAAUGAAUUGACGGGGUCAUAGCUGUUUCCU
rnacentral:rRNA from 1 species